UCUGGCUUACAUUGGGCAUUUAUGGCUAAAUUUAGGCUCUCUUUUGUUGACACCUUUGUGUGAAACAGCUUUCGGGGGAGUUGUGGGGUGAGGCUAGCCAGCCAAAAGCAAAAGGUACAUUUUUGGCUGAGUCCUGGCUUGAGUGUGGUCUGCCAGAAAAUAGUAAAUAUCUGGCAGAGUUCUGGCUAAGGUUUGGUUGGCCAAAGAGUUAAAAAAAAACACCAAAAAGUUUUUGUAAAUGUAAAAAGUCUAAAUUAAAUGGCGUUGUCAUGUCAAUUACCAUUGACAAUAUUUAUUUAUUAAAUAGCAGACACUUGUCAAAACCUAUUUAUAUAAAAUCAUAUUUACACUUGAUAAAAACAUCAAAGUUAAUAUUUAAGGCAAUAAUAAAUAUGUUUAUCCUUAUUGAAAGACGAAAUGUAGAAAAUGUUAUUUUGGGCAGUUAAUCCAAAGGUGUCAAUGUGCAAUAUACAAACAAUGCAAUAAACAGAUAAAUGAAUAAUGCAGUCUGUUCUAAUAUACAUCAAACAAAAGUAUUUUAAGUAUGUGUGCUUAUUUAAGUCUAUUUAGUUUUGUAUUUUAUUUUUUUAUAAAUAAAUAAGACUUUACAUUAAAUUGUGUUUACAAUUUAAAAAUACGACUAACUAAUACUAAUAUUUAUUGGUGCACUUUCGUUCCUAAAACAAUGACAUAUAUUGCAAUGCACCUUGGAAAUAGUAGUCAUUUAACCUCAACAGCGUUCAAUACGCCGUGGAAAAUGGACUACCUUUCCCAUAAUGCAACUGGUCAGGAUCAGGAACUUCCGCGAAUUUCAAACCCCCAGCUGUGUACUGGACGGAGGACGCGCGAUCUUUUGUUUUGUGGAGUUUUAUAUAACACAGUAAGGUAAGUUAUUAAGAUACUUUUCUUUUAAAUCUACGUAGAUUGCACUUAUUGUUCUACAGCGCGAUACCCAGUUGGUUUUCCUUUUUGUUUGUUAUUCUUUUCUGUGAUUUUCGUGUAGGUGCAAGUAUUUUAUCAUCAGUCGCCAUUUAACGUUAAACAUGCAUGUUUUUACAGUAAGAGACGCAACAUGCAUGACGGGGAUGAUAAAAUAAUCAAUAAGAAGUUUGAAUCUUUAAAAAUAAAUUAAUGCUGAACCCCAAAGAAGCCAACCGAAGAUGAGAUGUUUUCUGUACCAAUCCACAAAUCAACAUUUGCUGAAGUCAUGAACCACACUUUGUCAACAAUAAGUGUUGUUUCUGCAAUCUGGAUAAAGAAUAAUAAAUUACUGCCUCUUGGAGAACAGCCGACUGUACUCCAGACAGAGACAAAGACGUGAGGACAUCUAUUGCUUUUAAGUCAUGUACCACACUUUGUCAACAAAACAUGUUGUUCCUGCAAUCUGGAUGAAGAAUAAUUUGAGUUUAAUACUUCAUUUAAAAUGUAAUAGUUUAAAUAUUAAACAAAUGUGUAUCUGAUCAGAUGUUUGACUUCUCUAUUUAAUAGAUAUUACUGCCUCUUGGGAAAAAGCAGACUGUACUCCAGACAGAGACAAAGACAUGAGGACAUCCAUUGCUUUUAAGUCCUAUACCAGACUAUGUUGUUCCAGCUGUCUGGGUAAAGACUGAUACAUUACUGCCUCUUGGAGAACAGCAAACCAUUCUCCAGACAGAGACAAAGACAUGGACAUCAAAACAGAAAAUUAAGUACUUUAUCAUGGAUUGUUUGGAGUGAACGCUGACAAAUAAUGAAGCAAGAAAUGAAAAUGCUUGACCAAAACAAUUUUUGUACUUGGCUGUAAGAAGUCCUUUGUGUGUACAGACAUGACUGGAGAUUAAAGUUACUAAAUGUUGCUUUUUUCUAGCUGGUGACAUAACAUGAUAUUAUUUUCAAAUGUAUUUAUCUAAUACACAUUUGCACAUCUGUAAACAUUCAUUUUAUGUUGCAUGUUUUUAUAUUUAACCAGUUGUUGUAUAUUGCUAUCUGUUAUUACAUCUGUUUUUUAUUGUUUAAAACAAUUAAGUUAAUGUUUCUCUGUUAGCUUUUAUGUUACUUUGGCUAUUUCUUUGCUUUUAUUUGAUCCUUCUACUGUUAUUUGUUUAUUUGGCAGAACAUUUGACAUUUCAUUUAUUUUGCUGUUAUCUGAAAUUUUUCUUGUCAGCAUCAAUAAAACUCUAUAUUUGCUUUAUAUCUGUGUUUUUCAAUUAUACAUUUUACAGUAUAUAAAUAUAUUUUGGUCACUUUAUGGCUAUUUUCUGGGGCAUCUGGAUAAGUUGUGGGUGGGUUCUGGGGUAAAUAUGGUAAUUUUGGUUAUUUUCUGGGUUACAUUUGGGGUUUCUGGAAAAGUUGUGGGUAAGUUUGGGGAUAAUUGUGGUAAUCUGGGCUCUUUUCUGGUUGUUAUCUGGAGAUUCCGGGAGAGCUGUGGCUGAUUUCUCGAGGUGUGAAAGGGUUGCGGCUUAGCUAUGGUCUGCUUUCGGCUAGAUUCUGGAUUACUUAAGGCAAGCAGCUCUGGGACCAAUCAAGGACCGUAAGCCGUGGCGGCAUGUGUGCCAAAAGAACAGCCUGAACUCAGCCAUUUCUGGCCCUGAAAAA